rnacentral:rRNA from 1 species
AGUAAUGCAUCGGAACGUAUCCAAUAAUGGGGGAUAACGCAUCGAAAGGUGUGCUAAUACCGCAUACGCCCUGAGGGGGAAAGCUGGGGAUCUUCGGACCUAGCGUUAAUGGAGCGGCUGAUGCCUGAUUAGCUAGUUGGUGAGGUAAAGGCUCACCAAGGCGACGAUCAGUAGCCGGUCUGAGAGGACGACCAGCCACACUGGGACUGAGACACGGCCCAG